UAGCAUGCCUAUUGUUUUUAUUAAAACAAAAUUGAAAAUUGCAUGAACACGUGGCGAUAUUGUAGUCCAAAAUCCGUUUUAUGACAUCAUAGCAUCCGAUCUAUGACGCCGUGGAACGAUUUGUGAUGUCACCAAGCGCUAAAAAACUACUUAGUACCGUUCAACUUUCAUGUUUGAUAGAAAAUGAGAACUUCAAAUCAAAACUUCAAUUUACUGUUCAUCUUCUUAAGUCCCCCGACCCAAAGGUCGGAACUUAAAAUUGGAAGUUCGUAACUUCCUCUCCUUGGAUAACCCUAGCCUCUUUUCUCUUCUUCCCCGCUGCGCACCCCUCUCUUUGCCGCUGAGCACCCGUCUCUUCGUUCAUAGAUUUUCCAUCGGAUAAAGAUUUUCAUUCUGAAAACCCUAGAAAAUCCCUUCCCUUCCUUUCCUUACGAAGCUAGUGAUCCAUCUUUCUUCCACAGCUCAAGUUCUUAGUCAUGGCAUAUGAAGAUGAUCCUUAUCGGGAUGAGGAUGGAGAGCCAUUGAUGGAUUCGGACAUGGGUUAGAACCAGAAGAAGAAGAUUGGGAACGGAGCGAUCACCCACGCCAGUCAUGGAUUCUGGUGAAGAAGAUGAGCCUAAAGCUAAACCUAGAAAGAAGCUCAUAAAGAAGAGUAACAAGGAAAGCUCGCCUGAAAAUGAUUUUUUGGCUGAUGAAGUUCAGGAAAAUGAGGAUUUUUCAGCUGGAAAGUUGAAGGGAAAAGAGGGAUCGAGCAAGAAGAGGAAACCAAACGAAGAAAGGGCACACAAGGAGAAGCAAAUUAGGGCAAAGUCUCGAGAGAGAAGGCUUGGCAAAGAGUUCAAAAGGUUAAGAAUUUGGAGUUGGGUUUAUUUUUACAUUUUUUGGAGUUAAGUGUUUGGCGAUAAAUUAUUGUCAAUACUACAAAGUUAGAUUGAAUCAAUCAAUCUAAUCUUUGGAUAUUUUAGAUAAACGAAGAAUUGGUGUUUUGAAUUUGAGUUAUCCAUGAGUAAAAUGUGAAACAGAAAAAUGUAGCUAGCAUUUGUGCACAAUUCGGGAAUUAAGGUAUGAAUUUUAUUAAA